GACGUCGUCGAAUUAAAAAAAAGAAGGCAUCAAAAAGCUGGUGAUUCAGAAGGAAGAGUAUGUUGUUGAACAAAGGGCGAGCUACAGAGUUUAAAGAGAGGCCUAAGAUCAUGGACGAUUAACGAAAGAUUGCCUUUGGCCAGAUUGAUCACAAAGAGGGUUAAUACAGUCAAGUUGCCAUCCAAGUUAAUUUUUCCUGACCCAAAUGGUGAAAAGUAAUUUUACAAUGCUGAACAACGUGUGAAAGCAACAGUGGCCAAAUUGAAGAAAGAAUAUUGGCAUCGAGCUAAAAAGGAGACAUCAAGAAUUGGCGAUUCAAAUGAGGAACAUGUUGUUGAACAAGGGCGAAUUGAAAGGGAAGCCUCUCACAACUACCUUCCCUUACCAAUAGAAUCAGUGAAGACGUCCCUAAGUCAUUAGCCG
rnacentral:lncRNA from 1 species